rnacentral:rRNA from 1 species
UGGGAGGUAGUGACAAUAAAUCACAAUGCGGAACAAUGUUUUGCAAUUGGAUUGAGAACAACGUACAAACCUUAUCGAUAAACAAUUGGAGGGCAAGUCUGGUGCCAGCAGCCGCGGUAAUUCCAGCUCCAAUAGCGUAUAUUAACGUUGUUGCAGUUAAAAAGCUCGUAGUUGAAGUGAAGAGUGGUGAUUGUUGUUCUACAUUCGUGUAGUUUCAUGAAUCAACACUCUCCCUCUAAAUCCAGUAUAUGAGUAUUAAUUUACUUGUAUACGUAUUUAGACAUUUACUGUGAGAAAAUUAGAGUGUUCAAAGCAGGCACUUGCUUGAAUAUAUUAGCAUGGAAUAAUAAUUGAAGGCUUUCGUGUUCGAUUUGAUUGGUUUGUUCAUGGAAGCAAGGUUAAAAGGAACAGUUGGGGGUAUUCAUAUUCACUAGUUAGAGGUGAAAUUCUCGGAUUUAUGGAAGAUGAACAAGUGCGAAAGCA